CUACGGGAGGCAGCAGUGGGGAAUAUUGGACAAUGGGCGAAAGCCUGAUCCAGCGACGCCGCGUGGGUGAUGAAGGUCUUAGGAUUGUAAAACCCUUUUGUUGGGGAAGAUAAUGACGGUACCCAACGAAUAAGUCCCGGCUAACUUCGUGCCAGCAGCCGCGGUAAUACGAAGGGGGCUAGCGUUGUUCGGAAUGACUGGGCGUAAAGGGCGCGUAGGCGGUGAAAUACGUCUGGUGUGAAAGUCCUGGGCUUAACCUGGGGAUUGCACUGGAUACGGUUUUACUUGAGUGUAAGAGAGGAAGAUGGAAUUGUGCGUGUAGAGGUGAAAUUCGUAGAUAUGCACAAGAACACCGGAUGCGAAGGCGAUCUUCUGGCUUACAACUGACGCUGAGGCGCGAAAGCGUGGGGAGCAAACAGGAUUAGAUACCCCUGUAGUCC
rnacentral:rRNA from 1 species